CGGACUUCGAAUCCGCAGGUCGUAGGUUCGAAUCCUACCGGGCGCACCA
rnacentral:tRNA from 1 species